rnacentral:pre_miRNA from 1 species
AUACGGGGCCGUUAUAGCCAUGUGUUUAUCAUCCAACAUGGCAUAAAUUCCCCGUACUC